UCUCUGGUGGCUCAGAGGGUAAAGAAUCUGCCUACAGUGCAGGAGACCUGGGUUUGAUCCCUGGCUUGGGAA
rnacentral:tRNA from 1 species